rnacentral:rRNA from 1 species
UACGGAGGAUCCAAGCGUUAUCCGGAUUUAUUGGGUUUAAAGGGUGCGUAGGCGGAUUAGUAAGUCAGUGGUGAAAGCCUGCAGCUUAACUGUAGAAUUGCCAUUGAUACUGCUAGUCUUGAAUAUAGUUGAGGUAGGCGGAAUAUGACAUGUAGCGGUGAAAUGCUUAGAUAUGUCAUAGAACACCGAUUGCGAAGGCAGCUUGCUAAACGAUUAUUGACGCUGAGGCACGAAAGCGUGGGGAGCAAACAGG